CGUCCACAUCCAGAUUUACCUAAACCCCUCCCAGGUGGCAUAUGCAUAGCUAUGAAAAACCGGUAUUUUCUACCCAUGAAUCACACCC
ensembl:misc_RNA